UAGACUGGAGCGAGAUUGUCCAGGCCAUAAAGUAGAGAUAAAAGGAUUACCAUAGGCUCAUUCAUCGAAAAUUAUAUAUACAGGAAAACAAAAACGAAUUUCUACUUGAAGCAUGUGUAAAGCUAUUUCUUGCAUUAGAGCUAAUCCUUAUUAUUUUUCUUUGUCUCUUUCCUCUAUAUAUAUGCUUAUAGCUGACUAUAGUCUCCUAUUAAAUUUGCUCUUAGUAACUUUCUUCAUCAGUAUAUUAUCUUAAAAUGCUUUUUCUAAA
rnacentral:sRNA from 1 species